AGCACCACAAGCCUGGCUCCUGAGCUGGAGAGGGUAUUCAGGCUCAGAAAGGUGCUCUUGGAAAGCUUUUGUGAAGCUGGUCUUGUAAGCAUUGGAGACUAUGGGACUGAACGGUAUCUUAUGGGGAAACUGAGGCACGGAGAGGGAAAAGAAUGGACCUAUCUGAUGUAGCUUGAACCAGCAGCAGAUUUGUGAACAGAACUCACAGCCUUGACUUGAGGUGCCUAAGAGGGUCUGCAGCCCUCCAGCCUCCAGCCACCACC